rnacentral:rRNA from 1 species
GGCACGUUUACUUUGAAAAAAUUAGAGUGCUCAAAGCAGGCGCGUAGCCUGAAUAAUGGUGCAUGGAAUAAUGGAAUAGGACUUCGUUUCUAUUUUGUUGGUUUUCGGAACACGAGGUAAUGAUUAAGAGGGACAGACGGGGGCAUUCGUAUUGCGACGCUAGAGGUGAAAUUCUUGGACCGUCGCAAGACGAACUACUGCGAAAGCAUUUGCCAAGAAUGUUUUCAUUAAUCAAGAACGAAAGUUAGA